ACGGCGAGUGAAGAGGAAAGAGCUCAAAGUUGGAACCUGUUUGGCCUAGCUAAACUGGAUUGUAAACUGUAGAGGUGUUUUCCAGGCAAUCCGAAUUAAUAAGUCCUUUGGAACAGGGCAUCAUAGAGGGUGAGAAUCCCGUCUUUGAUUCGAGAUAUUUUGUCUUUUGCGAUACACUUUCAAAGAGUCAGGUUGUUUGGGAAUGCAGCCUAAAUUGGGUGGUAAAUCUCACCUAAAGCUAAAUAUUGGCGAGAAACCGAUAGCGAACAAGUACCGUGAGGGAAAGAUGAAAAGAACUUUGAAAAGAGAGUUAAACAGUAUGUGAAAUUGUUAAAAGGGAACCGUUUGGAGCCAGAUUGGCUUGUCUGUAAUCAAUCUAGGUUUCGUGCCUGGAUGCACUUGCAGACUAAUUGCCUGCCAACGACAAUUUUUUUUGAGUGUAAAAACUAUUGGAAAUGUGGCCAAUAUGUAUUUAUUGGUGUUAUAGUCCUUUAGAAAAUACCUUGGAUUGGAUUGAGGAACGCAGCGAAUGCCUCUUGUAGGCAAAGCCUUUUAUAGGAAUUUACGGAUCAGACUGUGGCAUUGUCACAAGACUUGAGGUUUAGCCCUAUUUUUGAGCUUUUAUUCGCU
rnacentral:rRNA from 1 species